rnacentral:tRNA from 1 species
UCCCAGGUGGCACAGUGGUAAAGAAUCUACCUGCAAUGCAGGAAACCCAGGUUCAAUCCCUGGGUUGGGAA